GCUCCCAUCGUCUAGUCCGGUUAAGGAUCAUGGCUUCUCGAGCCAUUGACACGGGUUCAAAUCCCGUUGGGAGCA
rnacentral:tRNA from 1 species